ACGAACGCUGGCGGCGUGCUUAACACAUGCCAGUCGAACGGAAAGGCCCUGCUUUUGUGGGGUGCUCGAGUGGCGAACGGGUGAGUAACACGUGAGUAACCUGCCCUUGACUUUGGGAUAACUUCAGGAAACUGGGGCUAAUACCGGAUAGGAGCUCCUGCUGCAUGGUGGGGGUUGGAAAGUUUCGGCGGUUGGGGAUGGACUCGCGGCUUAUCAGCUUGUUGGUGGGGUAGUGGCUUACCAAGGCUUUGACGGGUAGCCGGCCUGAGAGGGUGACCGGCCACAUUGGGACUAAGAUACGGCCCAGACUCCUACGGGAGGCAGCAGUGGGGAAUAUUGCACAAUGGGCGGAAGCCUGAUGCAGCAACGCCGCGUGCGGGAUGACGGCCUUCGGGUGGUAAACCGCUUUCGCCUGUGACGAAGCGUGAGUGACGGUAAUGGGUAAAGAAGCACCGGCUAACUACGU
rnacentral:rRNA from 1 species